UACGGAGGGUGCGAGCGUUGUCCGGAAUCAUUGGGCGUAAAGGGUGCGUAGGCGGUCGUGCAAGUCGGAUGUGAAAUCUCAGGGCUCAACCCUGAAACUGCAUUCGAUACUGCGUGGCUAGAGUGCUGGAGAGGAGACUGGAAUUUACGGUGUAGCAGUGAAAUGCGUAGAUAUCGUAAGGAAGACCAGUGGCGAAGGCGAGUCUCUGGACAGCAACUGACGCUGAGGCACGAAGGCCAGGGGAGCAAACGGG
rnacentral:rRNA from 1 species